rnacentral:rRNA from 1 species
GACGUAGGGCGCAAGCGUUGUCCGGAUUUAUUGGGCGUAAAGAGCUCGUAGGCGGCUUGUUGCGUCGUCCGUGAAAACCCGCAGCUCAACUGCGGGCUUGCGGACGAUACGGGCAGGCUGGAGUUCGGUAGGGGAGACUGGAAUUCCUGGUGUAGCGGUGAAAUGCGCAGAUAUCAGGAGGAACACCGGUGGCGAAGGCGGGUCUCUGGGCAGUAACUGACGCUGAGGAGCGAAAGCGUGGGGAGCGAACAGG